rnacentral:rRNA from 1 species
ACUCCUACGGGAGGCAGCAGUGGGGAAUAUUGGACAAUGGGGGAAACCCUGAUCCAGCCAUGCCGCGUGUGUGAAGAAGGCCUUCGGUUGUAAAGCACUUUCAGUGGGAGGAAAGGUUGAUGGUUAAUACCUAUCAGCUGUGACGUUACCCACAGAAGAAGCACCGGCUAACUCCGUGCCAGCAGCCGCGGUAAUACGGAGGGGUGCAAGCGUUAAUCGGAAUUACUGGGCGUAAAGCGUGCGCAGGCGGUCUGUUAAGCGAGAUGUGAAAGCCCCGGGGCUCAACCUGGGAACUGCAUUUCGAACUGGCAGACUAGAGUCUUGUAGAGGGGGUAGAAUUCCAGGUGUAGCGGUGAAAUGCGUAGAGAUCUGGAGGAAUACCGGUGGCGAAGGCGGCCCCUGGACAAAGACUGACGCUCAGGCACGAAAGCGUGGGGAGCAAACAGGAUUAGAUACCCUGGUAGGUCAGUC